UGGGGAAUAUUGGACAAUGGACCGAGAGUCUGAUCCAGCAAUUCUGUGUGCACGAUGAAGUUUUUUGGAAUGUAAAGUGCUUUCAGUUGGGAAGAAAAAAAUGACGGUACCAACAGAAGAAGUGACGGCUAAAUACGUGCCAGCAGCCGCGGUAAUACGUAUGUCACAAGCGUUAUCCGGAUUUAUUGGGCGUAAAGCGCGUCUAGGUGGUUAUGUAAGUCUGAUGUGAAAAUGCAGGGCUCAACUCUGUAUUGCGUUGGAAACUGUAUAACUAGAGUACUGGAGAGGUAAGCGGAACUACAAGUGUAGAGGUGAAAUUCGUAGAUAUUUGUAGGAAUGUCGAUGGGGAAGCCAGCUUACUGGACAGAUACUGACGCUAAAGCGCGAAAGCGUGGGUAGCAAACAGG
rnacentral:rRNA from 1 species